AAAUUGAAGAGUUUGAUCAUGGCUCAGAUUGAACGCUGGCGGCAGGCCUAACACAUGCAAGUCGAACGGUAGCACAGAGAGCUUGCUCUCGGGUGACGAGUGGCGGACGGGUGAGUAAUGUCUGGGAAACUGCCUGAUGGAGGGGGAUAACUACUGGAAACGGUAGCUAAUACCGCAUAACGUCGCAAGACCAAAGUGGGGGACCUUCGGGCCUCAUGCCAUCAGAUGUGCCCAGAUGGGAUUAGCUAGUAGGUGGGGUAACGGCUCACCUAGGCGACGAUCCCUAGCUGGUCUGAGAGGAUGACCAGCCACACUGGAACUGAGACACGGUCCAGACUCCUACGGGAGGCAGCAGUGGGGAAUAUUGCACAAUGGGCGCAAGCCUGAUGCAGCCAUGCCGCGUGUAUGAAGAAGGCCUUCGGGUUGUAAAGUACUUUCAGCGAGGAGGAAGGCAUUAAGGUUAAUAACCUUGGUGAUUGACGUUACUCGCAGAAGAAGCACCGGCUAACUCCGUGCCAGCAGCCGCGGUAAUACGGAGGGUGCAAGCGUUAAUCGGAAUUACUGGGCGUAAAGCGCACGCAGGCGGUCUGUCAAGUCGGAUGUGAAAUCCCCGGGCUCAACCUGGGAACUGCAUUCGAAACUGGCAGGCUUGAGUCUCGUAGAGGGGGUAGAAUUCCAGGUGUAGCGGUGAAAUGCGUAGAGAUCUGGAGGAAUACCGGUGGCGAAGGCGGCCCCCUGGACGAAGACUGACGCUCAGGUGCGAAAGCGUGGGGAGCAAACAGGAUUAGAUACCCUGGUAGUCCACGCCGUAAACGAUGUCUAUUUGGAGGUUGUUCCCUUGAGGAGUGGCUUCCGGAGCUAACGCGUUAAAUAGACCGCCUGGGGAGUACGGCCGCAAGGUUAAAACUCAAAUGAAUUGACGGGGGCCCGCACAAGCGGUGGAGCAUGUGGUUUAAUUCGAUGCAACGCGAAGAACCUUACCUGGUCUUGACAUCCACGGAAUUUGGCAGAGAUGCCUUAGUGCCUUCGGGAACCGUGAGACAGGUGCUGCAUGGCUGUCGUCAGCUCGUGUUGUGAAAUGUUGGGUUAAGUCCCGCAACGAGCGCAACCCUUAUCCUUUGUUGCCAGCGGUUAGGCCGGGAACUCAAAGGAGACUGCCAGUGAUAAACUGGAGGAAGGUGGGGAUGACGUCAAGUCAUCAUGGCCCUUACGACCAGGGCUACACACGUGCUACAAUGGCAUAUACAAAGAGAAGCGACCUCGCGAGAGCAAGCGGACCUCAUAAAGUAUGUCGUAGUCCGGAUUGGAGUCUGCAACUCGACUCCAUGAAGUCGGAAUCGCUAGUAAUCGUGAAUCAGAAUGUCACGGUGAAUACGUUCCCGGGCCUUGUACACACCGCCCGUCACACCAUGGGAGUGGGUUGCAAAAGAAGUAGGUAGCUUAACCUUCGGGAGGGCGCUUACCACUUUGUGAUUCAUGACUGGGGUGAAGUCGUAACAAGGUAACCGUAGGGGAACCUGCGGUUGGAUCACCUCCUUA
rnacentral:rRNA from 2 species